rnacentral:rRNA from 1 species
AAAAUUGUAUAAUUAAUAGACCAGAGUAGUAUUAGUUAGGGUCUUGAAACUCAAAAAAUUUGGCGGUAUUUUAGUCUAUUUAGAGGAACCUGUAGUAUAAUCGAUAAUCCACGAUGGACCUCACUUAAUUUUGUUUUUCAGUUUGUAUACCGCUGUUAUUUGAAGAUUUUAUAAGAAUAUUAAUUUUCAGGAUUUUUUAUUAAAGAAUAUAUCAGGUCAAGGUGCAGCUUAUGAUUAAGAAUUUAUGGGUUACAAUAAAAUUAUUUAAACGGAUUUAAAUAUGAAAUUAUUUUUUGAAGGUGGAUUUAAUAGUAAAUUUUUAAAGAUAAAAGAAUUGAUU